AGAUUGAACGCUGGCGGCAUGCUUUACACAUGCAAGUCGAACGGUAACGCGGGGGCAACCCUGGCGACGAGUGGCGAACGGGUGAGUAAUACAUCGGAACGUGCCCAGUAGUGGGGGAUAGCUCGGCGAAAGCCGGAUUAAUACCGCAUACGACCUACGGGUGAAAGCGGGGGAUCGCAAGACCUCGCGCUAUUGGAGCGGCCGAUGGCAGAUUAGCUUGUUGGUGGGGUAAAAGCCUACCAAGGCGACGAUCUGUAGCUGGUCUGAGAGGACGACCAGCCACACUGGGACUGAGACACGGCCCAGACUCCUACGGGAGCAGCAGUGGGGAAUUUGGACAAUGGGCGCAAGCCUGAUCCGAGCAAUGCCGCGUGUGUGA
rnacentral:rRNA from 1 species